rnacentral:rRNA from 1 species
CCUACGGGGGGCAGCAGUGAGGAAUAUUGGUCAAUGGGCGCGAGCCUGAACCAGCCAAGUAGCGUGAAGGAUGACUGCCCUACGGGUUGUAAACUUCUUUUAUAAAGGAAUAAAGUGAGGCACGUGUGCCUUUUUGUAUGUACUUUAUGAAUAAGGAUCGGCUAACUCCGUGCCAGCAGCCGCGGUAAUACGGAGGAUCCGAGCGUUAUCCGGAUUUAUUGGGUUUAAAGGGAGCGUAGAUGGGUUGUUAAGUCAGUUGUGAAAGUUUGCGGCUCAACCAUAGAAUUGCCGUUGAUACUGGGAGGCUUGAGUAUGUUUGAGGCAGGCGGAAUGCGUGGUGUAGCGGUGAAAUGCUUAGAUAUCACGCAGAACACCGAUUGCGAAGGCAGCCUGCCAAGCCAUGACUGACGCUGAUGCACGAAAGCGUGGGGAUCAAACAGGAUUAGAUACCCGGGUAGUC